AGAGUUACUACUCCAAACCCAUUGUGAACCUUACCUAUGUUCUGUUGCCUCGGCGGCGUGGUCAGCGCCCCCUCUGAAAAGAGGACGAUGUCCUCCCGCCGGCAGCACCAAACUCUUUGAAUUUUACAGCGGAUCACAGUUCUGAUUUGAAAACAAAAAACAAGUUAA
rnacentral:misc_RNA from 1 species